GUGAAUCAUCGAAUUUUUGAACGCAAAUUGCGCUUCCUAGCAUCCCGGGAAGUAUGCCUGUUUGAGGGUCAGUAUUAACAAAAAAUCGGUUUGGUUGCAAAUUGUGACGUUUCCGGAGUUUGGGCUAUCUUAACUUUUUUGGUUAAGGGGCUUAAAAUUGACCUUUUUUGCGCAUUUUUAGACGUACAUAAAUUUUUUUUUUAUUUGUUUAUUUUUAAUGGCAAAAAUCUAUUUGAAUG
rnacentral:misc_RNA from 1 species